UUGCCAGUAAACAGCCAACAAAUGAAGCAGAAACGACAGAGCUGCAAUAAAAAUACGCUACAGCACGCCAUUGGACCCUUUCUGAUUCUAGCACAAUUUCUUGGCGUGUUGCCCGUUUCCGGCGUCUGGCCCAGUUCUCCAGCUGAGAAUGUGCGUUUUCGCUGGCUCACUCCGUCCUUUUUUCUAAGCAUUGUCAUACUGGCCUUCGCCAUUUUGGACUGUAUCCUCUCAUCCAAAGUGGUGCUCGAUCAUGGCCUUAAAAUCUACACCAUCGGCUCGCUUAGCUUUAGCGUUAUUUGCAUUGCGUGUUUGGGCGUUUUUCUUUCCCUCUCCCGCCGCUGGCCGCAUGUCAUCCGACGGACAGCACAAUGUGAGCAGGUUUUUUUGCAGCCUGGUUACGAUUGCCAUUUGGGCCAACAAUUUGGACGCCGCCUGCGCCUUUGGGGCGUGGGCUUGCUGGUGGCCGCACUCUGCGAGCACUCCACAUAUGUUGGUAGUGCUUUGUACAGUAAUUACCAACAAAUACACGAGUGCAAGCUGGACGUUGACUUUUGGAUGAAUUAUUUCGAGAGGGAGCGUCAGGAGCUCUUCUCGGUAUUUCACUUCAAUGUGCCACAAGCACUUUUUAUUGAAUGGACCACACUGGCUAUGACUUUUGUUUGGAAUUUUGUGGACAUAUUUUUGAUACUGAUCAGUCGUAGUCUGCAGCUGCGCUUCCAGCAGAUGCACUGGCGCAUACGUCAACAUGCCGGGAAACAUAUGUCCAGCGAGUUCUGGGAGCAGGUUCGCUAUGAUUUGCUUGAUCUAUGUGACUUGCUCAAGCUGUACGAUAAGGAGCUCUCUGGACUAGUUAUCUUGGCCUGUGCACACAAUAUGUACUUCGUGUGUGUGCAAAUCUAUCAUAGCUUUAAGGCCAGGGGCAGCUUUAUGGAUGAGCUGUACUUCUGGUUCUGUUUGAUCUACGUUAUAACGCGAGUCUUAAAUAUGAUGUUUGCUGCCUCUACCAUACCACAAGAAGCCCAGGAAAUAUCAUAUACACUCUUUGAGAUACCAACAGAAUACUGGUGCCUGGAGCUGUGGCGCAUACAGGAGGUUAUAUUGACCAACACGUUUGCCCUGAGCGGAAAAGGAUAUUUCUUUGUGACCAGGCGCCUAAUAUUUUCUAUGGCUGCCACUUUAAUGGUCUAUGAGCUGGUGCUAAUCAAUCAAAUGAGCGGCUCUGAGGUGCAGAAGAGCAUUUGUAGUCGCGGCGCAGGUGCCUCCAAGAGCAUUUUCUAUUCAUAGUACUGCACUUAAUCCUAUUGCAUAUUUUAUAAAGCUGUCGGCGAGCGAGCUGCAAUUUGCACAAAGAUUUUUAUGGCUUUGACUAUUCGCAAUGUAAACAACUAAUUUAAAACACUUCAGCAGUUGGGCAUAGGACAUGGC
rnacentral:misc_RNA from 1 species